AUUGAACGCUGGCGGCAUGCUUUACACAUGCAAGUCGAACGGUAACAGGGUGCUUGCACCGCUGACGAGUGGCGAACGGGUGAGUAAUGCGUCGGAACGUGCCGAGUAGUGGGGGAUAACGCAGCGAAAGUUGUGCUAAUACCGCAUACGUACUGAGGUAGAAAGUGGGGGACCUUCGGGCCUCACGCUAUUCGAGCGGCCGCCGUGUGAUUAGCUAGUAGGUGCGGUAAAGGCUCACCUAGGCGACCAUCAGUAGCGGGUCUGAGAGGAUGAUCCGCCACACUGGGACUGAGACACGGCCCAGACUCCUACGGGAGGCAGCAGUGGGGAAUUUUGGACAAUGGGCGAAAGCCUGAUCCAGCCAUGCCGCGUGUCUGAAGAAGGCCUUCGGGUUGUAAAGGACUUUUGUCGGGGAGGAAAUCCCCAGCGUUAAUACCGCUGGGGGAUGACAGUACCUGAAGAAUAAGCACCGGCUAACUACGUGCCAGCAGCCGCGGUAAGAC
rnacentral:rRNA from 1 species